AUUAAAUAAAAGCGCUUAAGAGUAAAAAUUGAUACAUAGGUUCUUCACGUAAUUAAAAUCAGAUAAUAAGCUAAAUGCGAUACUUGAGCAACUGUGCUAGAACCAGGGAACGCGGAAAUUCCUAACACCUUCUCACGGGUUAACAGAAUCCCUUAUCCAGAUUUCUCAUUUGCGGACUGUGUUACAGAGUCAUAAUUUGCUCGGGUUGGGAUUCCACUGGUGACUUGGGACACCAUUAAUCUCUCAAGUGGAGACUCUGAAUAAUUAAUAAUAAAUUCCGUUUCGAUUUUCCUUUAAUUGAAAAGCUCCUUUACGCCCUUGCCGGGGUAGUGAAAAAAGAGGUGUGGCAGCUCUGGCGACUCUGCUGGGGGAAAGAACCCAAAACGUUUUGUUCAGGGUUCAAGAAUUCCAGCUUAGAUAAAUUUUUGUGUUUGGCAUUAUC
rnacentral:lncRNA from 1 species